rnacentral:rRNA from 1 species
GACGUAGGGCGCAAGCGUUGUCCGGAUUUAUUGGGCGUAAAGAGCUCGUAGGCGGCCUGUCGCGUCGACCGUGAAAACCUAAGGCUCAACCUUGGGCUUGCAGUGGGUACGGGCAGACUAGAGUGCGGUAGGGGUGACUGGAAUUCCUGGUGUAGCGGUGGAAUGCGCAGAUAUCAGGAGGAACACCGAUGGCGAAGGCAGGUCACUGGGCCGCAACUGACGCUGAGGAGCGGAAAGCAUGGGGAGCGAACAGG